rnacentral:misc_RNA from 1 species
UUCUCUCUCACAUUCAGUGGUUUUGUCGUUAUUUCUCUCUCUUUUGAAGGAGAAUGCGGUGAAAAGAAAUGGCAGCGCUUAGAAGUCGCCAAACGUGUUUUAGGUUGUACCAACUACACUAGUAAGUGACUUCACCGAGUCGGCUUGAUAACUCUUUCAAUGUUGACCUCAAAUCAGGUAAGAAUACCCGCUGAACUUAA